rnacentral:rRNA from 1 species
UACGAAGGGUGCAAACGUUGCUCGGAAUUAUUGGGCGUAAAGCGCGUGUAGGCGGCUUGGCAAGUCGGGUGUGAAAGCCCUCACCUCAACUGAGGAAGUGCGCCCGAAACUGCUUUGCUUGAGUGCUGGAGAGGGUCGCGGAAUUCCCCAAGUAGAGGUGAAAUUCGUAGAUAUGGGGAGGAACACCGGUGGCGAAGGCGGCGACCUGGACAGUAACUGACGCUGAGACGCGAAAGCGUGGGUAGCAAACAGG